GACGAACGCUGGCGGCGUGCUUAACACAUGCAAGUCGAACGGUAAGGCUCCAGCUUGCUGGGGUACACGAGUGGCGAACGGGUGAGUAACACGUGGGUGACCUGCCCUGCACUUCGGGAUAAGCCUGGGAAACUGGGUCUAAUACCGGAUAGGACCGCACCGUGAGGGUGUGGUGGAAAGUUUUUUCGGUGUGGGAUGGGCCCGCGGCCUAUCAGCUUGUUGGUGGGGUAAUGGCCUACCAAGGCGGCGACGGGUAGCCGGCCUGAGAGGGUGGACGGCCACAUUGGGACUGAGACACGGCCCAGACUCCUACGGGAGGCAGCAGUGGGGAAUAUUGCACAAUGGGCGGAAGCCUGAUGCAGCGACGCCGCGUGGGGGAUGACGGCCUUCGGGUUGUAAACUCCUUUCACCAUCGACGAAGGGUUUCUGACGGUAGAUGGAGAAGAAGCACCGGCUAACUACGUGCCAGCAGCCGCGGUAAUACGUAGGGUGCGAGCGUUGUCCGGAAUUACUGGGCGUAAAGAGCUCGUAGGUGGUUUGUCGCGUCGUCUGUGAAAUUCCGGGGCUUAACUCCGGGCGUGCAGGCGAUACGGGCAUAACUUGAGUACUGUAGGGGAGACUGGAAUUCCUGGUGUAGCGGUGAUAUGCGCAGAUAUCAGGAGGAACACCGGUGGCGAAGGCGGGUCUCUGGGCAGUAACUGACGCUGAGGAGCGAAAGCAUGGGGAGCGAACAGGAUUAGAUACCCUGGUAGUCCAUGCCGUAAACGGUGGGCGCUAGGUGUGGGUUUCCUUCCACGGGAUCCGUGCCGUAGCUAACGCAUUAAGCGCCCCGCCUGGGGAGUACGGCCGCAAGGCUAAAACUCAAAGGAAUUGACGGGGGCCCGCACAAGCGGCGGAGCAUGUGGAUUAAUUCGAUGCAACGCGAAGAACCUUACCUGGGCUUGACAUAUACAGGAUCGCGCCAGAGAUGGUGUUUCCCUUGUGGCUUGUAUACAGGUGGUGCAUGGUUGUCGUCAGCUCGUGUCGUGAGAUGUUGGGUUAGGUCCCGCAACGAGCGCAACCCUUGUCUUAUGUUGCCAGCACGUUAUGGUGGGGACUCGUAAGAAACUGCCGGGGUUAACUCGGAGGAAGGUGGGGAUGACGUCAAAUCAUCAUGCCCCUUAUGUCCAGGGCUUCACACAUGCUACAAUGGUCGGUACAGUGGGUUGCCAGUCCGUGAGGGCGAGCUAAUCCCGCAAAGCCGGUCUCAGUUCGGAUCGGGGUCUGCAACUCGACCCCGUGAAGUCGGAGUCGCUAGUAAUCGCAGAUCAGCAACGCUGCGGUGAAUACGUUCCCGGGCCU
rnacentral:rRNA from 1 species